rnacentral:rRNA from 1 species
UACGUAGGGUGCGAGCGUUGUCCGGAAUUAUUGGGCGUAAAGGGCUCGUAGGCGGUCUGUCGCGUCGGGGAGUGAAAACACGGGGCUUAACCCCGUGCCUGCUUCCGAUACGGGCAGACUAGAGGUAUGCAGGGGAGAACGGAAUUCCUGGUGUAGCGGUGAAAUGCGCAGAUAUCAGGAGGAACACCGAUGGCGAAGGCAGUUCUCUGGGCCGUAACUGACGCUGAGGAGCGAAAGCGUGGGGAGCGAACAGG